rnacentral:rRNA from 1 species
CAGUACCUCAAGUGGUCAGGAUGAUUAUUGGGCCUAAAGCAUCCGUAGCCGGCGCUGUAAGUUUUCGGUUAAAUCUGUACGCUCAACGUACAGGCUGCCGGGAAUACUGCAGCGCUAGGGAGUGGGAGAGGUAGACGGUACUCGGUAGGAAGGGGUAAAAUCCUUUGAUCUAUUGAUGACCACCUGUGGCGAAGGCGGUCUACCAGAACACGUCCGACGGUGAGGGAUGAAAGCUGGGGGAGCAAACCGGAUUAGAGACCCGAGUAGUCC